GCGACUCGCGAUAGAACAGAAUGAAUUUGUGUCGCGAUGAUGCUCCUUAGGAAAACUGUGCUUGGGUGUGUCUAAGGAUACGGAAUCAUCGGAUUCGUUAAGGAAAGCGUUAGUUCAGAGAGUGAGGGAAAUGGACGUCGCUGUUAAUUGGCUAAAUCGUGAGUUGGUGGUUGGAAAGAGAUGGCAACUGCCCUUGAGAGAAAGUUGCUAGCGAGGAGCGUCGUACGUGAGGAAAAGCAGAUUUCCGUAUGGGUGGUAUGUGUAGGGACUAUUGAGACAAAGACUAUCUGUUCCUUUAGAGAAUCUUAGCUGCAUGGAUCCUAAGAUUUAUAGCGGGUCCUUAGGCUCGCUGUAAAUAUUCGGAGAGAGUGUAUCGACAUCUGGCAAUCAUCUGUUCGCAAGGUAAAGUCCUUGUGUAGCGAGGCACGGGACAGAAACCGUUGGGAAGUUUGCUGUCGAGUGCCGCUACACUUUAUUUCCUAUUAGGUCGUGACCUGCUGCUUUCUUGGGGUUUAGGCUACUGAUUGCUUCUAUAAUCUCUGCAGAAGUGAAGGGUUCAAUAGGAGGGGACAUUUGGAAGGGAGUGUGCAGGUAUUCGGUAACGUCUGCAGCAGCUACGGAGGAAUGGGAU
rnacentral:misc_RNA from 1 species